rnacentral:tRNA from 1 species
AAAAAUUUAGUUAAUAUACUAUAACAUUAGUUUGUCAAACUAAAAUAAUUAAAAAAUAAUUUUUA